GUAAUACUUCCUCCGUUCUAAAUUACUCGUCGCAGAAAUGGAUGUAUCUAGAACUAAAAUACAUUUAGAUACAUCCAUACCUGCGACAAGUAAUUCGGAACGGAGGAAGUAGUAC
rnacentral:pre_miRNA from 1 species